GAGUGUUUUGAUCUUUUGUGCUGCGUUUGGUUUUCCUCAGAAUCCAAGGGGCAGAGAAGAGUUCAGAACUCGAAAAUACAAAUCCCUAACCCAUUUCUUCCUCCAAUUUGUUGCUGCCAGAGACUCUCCUUCCCGUCGAUCAUUGACUGUCAAAGCUUUUACUGUGUUUCACUUUUGACUUCGAAUCGGCCAGUGUUCACGGUCGAAGCCAAGAGUCAGAGUGUUCACUGUGUAUUGUCGACUGCCAGAAGCUCCAUUGUCGAAGCCAAGAACCAG
rnacentral:misc_RNA from 1 species